rnacentral:rRNA from 1 species
UACGGAGGGUGCGAGCGUUGUCCGGAAUCAUUGGGCGUAAAGGGCGCGUAGGUGGCGGGACAAGCGUGCGGUGAAAGCUCGGGGCUCAACCCCCGAGUCGGCCGUGCGAACUGUUUUGCUUGAGCACUGUAGAGGCAGGCGGAAUUCCGGGUGUAGCAGUGGAAUGCGUAGAGAUCCGGAAGAACACCGGUGGCGAAGGCGGCCUGCUGGGCAGUAGCUGACACUGAGGCGCGACAGCGUGGGGAGCAAACAGG